rnacentral:lncRNA from 1 species
CAGAACUCUUGAUUGCAGCCAGUGGCACAGGAGCUAGGAAUUAGAGUGGUUCCAACCUUUAAGAUCUUGAAGGACAACAAGGUGAUAAAGGAAGUGGUCGGGGCAAAAUUUGAUGAGUUGCUUGCAGCCAUUGAGGCAGCGAGGUCAGGCUGAGCCUCUCUCUCUAUAUAUAUAUCACUCCUGCUAUAGAGUAUUAGGAUCAUUCUCCAUCAACAUGUAAUUGGUUCGGCUCUAUGUAUGUAAACUCUCUGCUGUUCCUUAAACUGGAUUCAGUUGUAAUGUUAACAGUGUAUGUAUAAACGCUGGAAAGUUAUGAAGUAUGAUGAGCUAUAUGCUUUAUAUAUCAAAAGUUUCAUUAACUAGUGGUUAAGCUAGUUCUUGAUUUGAGGUUGAGAAGUUCUUUCCACUGCACAAGCUUGAUUGAUGACUUAAAAUUUGGAGAGUAACAUGGAUUGUUGAAACAAAGAUUAUGGUGUAUGUGCUUGUUUUCAAUGGAUGUUCCAACUAGAUUUUUAACAAGUCAUAAUUUCAUUGUAGUUGUUCACCAAAUCCAAUUUGGCCUAGUAUUAUAACUUUAAUCUAUUUGGCAUAUUGUAUACUAGGCCAAUGUACUUGGAUUUAUUCAUAUAUUCAUAAUUUUUGAAUUUAUAAUUUAUUGACAAAGAAAUCUUAUGAUUUUUCUAUAUUAAUUAUCAUUUUUAUGAGAAAUUUACUACCAUAAUCAUUUUUAAGUUUUUGUCACAAAAAUAGUUCUUAAAGAAAAAAAUGACCAAAAUAAGUUUUAUUAAAGGAUAAAAAUAUAUUUUUACCUAAGUUAACUAAUCUAGACUUAUGGUUUAUAUUCGAAGGGUUGAAUUUUGGGGAUAAAGUUUCAAUUUUUUUUAAAAAUAAAAAAUGUAUUAAAAAAUUCAAAAUAAAAAAAAAAGUUAUUUUGGUUAUUUUCUUUUUUGAGAGUUAUUUUUGUAACAAAACUAAAAAAAAAAAGCUAUUUGAGAGAAUUGUUUUUUUUCUCUAUCGGUAAUUUAAAGAAAAUGUAUUAAAAAAAUGAGACAAAAAGAAAAUAGACAAAGCUACCGAUCAUAGCUGACACGUGGCAAGAUCUGGAAGCGAUUUAUAAUCAUAAGAAACGAGAUCCGAGUCUCUCAGACAAAUCUCUAUCUCUCUCUCUCUCUAUAGCUGGAGUGAACUGUUGAGGCCUUUGGUUUCAUCGAGAGACCCCUAAAACCCGAUCUGCAACAAGAAUGGCGUCUUCUCCGUUCUCCCUCACGUCCCCGGCUGCUUCCGUCUAUGGAGCCACCCAAACCUCGUCGCAGUUACCUCUCCCAACCACUCGCUCUCGUCUACCUCGCAGAGUUUCCUUCCGUCUCUCCGCCAAGCCUAAGCUUCGCUUUCUCUCCAAGGUACACACCCUUCUCUCCCAUAAAGGAUUGGCCUUUUUGUGUAUUUAUCAACUGUAUUUUUGGGAGUUAUGUCUCUGAUAGGCUAGUUUAAUACCCCAUCAUAGCAGUUUGGUCUUAAUCCUGUUUGGUCUCAUGUCUGAAUCCCCUGAAAAUGCAUUUAAUCAUUUUGUUUUAUGUAACUUUUGUGGCAUUUGAUAAUUGCAGCCUAGUCGCAGUAGCUACCCUGUGGUGAAAGCCCAAUCCAACCAGGUAAGCUUUUUAAUUACUGAUCUCUUUGAGACAAUCAAAACAGUUAUUCAUUUCUGGGACUCUACUCCUGUCUUUAAAGGUUGGUGGCAGUGCAUCAUCAAAAGCUUCAGCUCCUGCAAAAAUUGAUGAGCCAUCAGCUAAAGAAAAGAAUGCUUCUUCUUCUUCUUCAGCUGAUUUAGCUACAGAGGAGUCUAUCUCUGAGUUCUUGACCCAAGUAACAACUCUUGUCAAGUAAGUACUGUUUCCUUGUUACAUCACAUAAACGUGUCAACGUCCAUGAUUGAAGAAUAUACUCUUACCUCCGUCGUGCAGGCUUGUGGAUUCGAGAGACAUUGUUGAGUUGCAGUUGAAACAGCUCGACUGCGAGCUUGUCAUUCGGAAAAAGGAAGCUUUACCUCAGCCGCCUCAAUCCCCUGCGCCUUAUGUUAUGAUGCAGCAACCAAACCAACCAUCUUAUGUGCAAUCAGCUCCUCCUCCUCCUGCACCUGCUGCUGCCUCACCUGCGCCUUCUUCUACCCCAGCCUCCUCGCCUCCACCAUCCCCACCUAGUCCGGCGAAAUCAUCGCUUCCAACUGUUAAAAGUCCCAUGGCAGGCACAUUCUACCGUAGUCCAGGACCUGGUGAACCACCCUUUAUCAAGGUUAGGAUACUUUGUUCAUUUCUUUAGCCUAUAACUCUACAAAUACUUUUAUUUCUAAACAGCCUGGAUCCUGUUUGCUAAUUUCUUUAGCUCAGAACUGUAUAGAGACUUUUUAAGUACCUGAUCAUUUGUAAAUAGUCCAAACUCUAUUUACUAAUUUCUUUAGCUCAUAACCCAGGUAGAGGUUAUGUGCUUAGUAAAUUUGAAAGAAGAAGAAUGAAAACGAUAAAUAUAGGAUAAUCCUAUGAAAUGGGCAUGUCCAUAAGUAGCCAUUUUCUAUCUUUUUUUGCAUUUCACUGUCUGGAUUCGUAAUAAUAUGACUUUCUUGCUGCUUUAGGUUGGAGACAAAGUGCAGAAGGGACAAGUUCUAUGCAUCGUUGAAGCCAUGAAGUUAAUGAAUGAAAUAGAGGUGCGUUCCUUAGUCAUGCCUUACCAAUUUUGUUUUCCACUAACGACGAAUCAUCUAUCACUUUUCGUUACAAUAUCCAAUCUCUAUCAUUCACUUGUCAAUUCUACUAGGAAGAAUUCUUGUGCUUACUGUGUAACAAUUCUGUCAUGAUCCCAAAUCCUCCCUCUUAAACCUUUUGAGGUUGAAAAAACCAUUAUUGACUCAACUCAUCCCUUAAACUUCUUAUCCUCAGUCUGAUCAAACGGGAACGGUAGUCGAUAUCGUUGCAGAAGAUGGCAAGCCUGUUAGCCUUGACACUGUAAGUUUUUCUCAAUCCUCUAUCUUUAACACAUUCAAGAACCACAUUUUGCAUUUUUUUUAGUACAUCAUUUUAAUUGUAAAUAAUGAUAUAGAACUUCCUAGAAUUGAAAUAGAUCUCUACUAAUAUCAAUAUUUAUUGUUUUUCCUGGUUUUAUUACAGCCUCUGUUUGUGGUUCAACCGUAGAAUCUACACCACGAGAGAUGGAAAAAUGAGGCUACUUUAAUUCAAUCUCUGUGCUGUUUCUUGAGUCUCUAAGAAUGUGUCUUCUUCAUUGUUACUGUCAAACUCUGUUAGGUUUUUUUGGUUUGGUGAGGAAGAAAGAGUUUUUAAGUUUCUAUUGGUUAAAACCAAAAAAAAAGUCGACGCUCUGUUUUAUUUAUUUUCUUAUUACGUACAUACACACGCAUUCUUGGUUCUGUUUUAUGGACAUUGCAAUUUCUCUACUUCAAAAGUAUGGGUGGGUACUUCGGUUAUUUUCUCGGUUCGGGUUCGGUUCGGUUAGUUCGGUUCUAGUAUUUUUCCAAUGGAAAUAAACCAUAGUUAAUUCGGUUUGGUUCGGUUCGGUUUAUAUUCGGUUCGGUUUGUUUUUUGGAUCAGUUUAAUUAGAUGCUUUUUAGUUUAGUUUUUUUCUUAGUUUAAUUUUAAUUAUGUUCUAAAACAUAAAUUAUGUGAACUAAAUUCAACAUAAAACUGAAACAUAUUUUUUUUUAAAGUCACAAAAAGUAUAUAAGAUUUAAAAUAAAUGAAAGUUAACUAACAUAAAAAAACCAACAUCAUUAGUAAUGUUUCUUAUAUCAUUAUUAAAAAUCUUGUAAUAAAUCAUCUUCCAUGUGAUCAUGUAGAGAAGAAUCUUUGUUUUUAAUAAAAUUUGCUUUAGGUUUUAGAUUUAGAUUUGACAUCCACAGUUAAAUAUACAAAAAUAUAAACAUACAAACUUUUCUAUUUUUUUUAAGGAUGAUUACAUAUUAGGUUAGAAAAAUAUAUGUUAAUGAAUGAAAAAUGGAAAAUACGUGAUAUAGUAUUAGAAUUUUAGUAUAUUGGUAUUGCUAAUAUUUUUAAUUUAAGUAAUUACAAAACACAUCGGUUUCUCGGUUUGGUUUGGUUUAAACCGAACCAUUCGGAUUGGAGAAAUCUUCAACCAAAUGGUUUGAAAUAGAUUCUGGUUCGGUUUGAAUCGGUUUCGAUUCAGUUGGUUCGGUUUGACUCGGUUCGGUUCGGGUUUUUUACCCACCCCUAUUCAAAAGUAUAAUCACCAAGCGGGCUGUUUAUUUCUUUAAACUCGGCCCGGCCCAUUAUACGUAAGGGCCCAACCAUGUAAGCAAAAUAAAAUCAAUUAACGAACAAUAAAUGAAACUGACAUAACGAAGAAACGGAUUUGUUCGCCGGAGGAGGAAACUUCAACCACCACUUUCGUCUCCGAUGAGUGCUCCUCGAAAUCUCUCCUUCCUCACCACCGCUCUCUUCUCCUCCAUCCUCUUCCUUCAGCUUUCCUCGCUACCGGAUCCUUCGUUCUACGAUUACCUCCGUGAGAGCGGUCUCCCCGCGGGUAUAGUCCCCAAGGGAGUCACCAAUUUCUCAAUCGACGCCAAAACGGGGCGUUUCACCGUGGCUCUCCCCGUUCCCUGCGACGCGAAAUUCGAAAGCCAGUUCCACUUCGACUACAACAUCACCGGCGUCCUCUCCGAUGGUAGGAUCGGGAACUUAUCGGGCGUGACGCAGAAGGAGCUCUUCCUGUGGUUCGCCGUCAAGGGAAUACACGUGGAUCCGGAGAGCUCGGGGCUGAUCCACUUCGAUGUCGGUGUUGCUGAUAAGCAGAUGUCUCUCUCCCUCUUCGAGUCGCCUCGUGAUUGCACCGCCGCGGUGUAUGAACACCGUGUGGUUGAUCUCUCUGAGCCCCGUGAUUUGGAGGUAACGUUGUUGUGUCUUUGCAUUAGCUAGGGUUUUAGAUUUUUCCCCAAAUUAAAUAUUGAUUAGGAUUAGGAAAAUAAAAAUUAAAAAAAAAAAUAUUGAUUAGGAAUCAAUGUUGAUCUUAUUAAUCUCUUAUUUUUACAAUGCAGAAGCAAUCUUCUGGAGAUAUCCAAUCCAUCUUCGUACCACCAAGGAAUCGCUGGAGAGUAUCAUCUAGUUUUUUUUUUAAUUAAAAUGCAAAUCCAUCUCUCUCGUAUGGUGUGUCUUGUAAAUAGUUUUGGCUUGUAGUUCUUCUUCUUUAACAGUAUAAAGCUUCAAUAAACAAACUUAGGAUGCAUUACUAAUAGUAAUAGUACUCUUUGGGGUUUGUAACAGAUUAGGGGUUUAAGACAUAAUUUGCUUGUGGAUUUUUAUCAGAGAUUGGUGUGUUUGUUAUUAAAUUCUAACACUUUUUGGAUGUACAUUGUAAACGAAAGGAAGUUGAAUUCACCAAUUAAAAUUUAUUGUGAGAUGUCACUUGAUAAAUGGAAAGAUGACUAGAGAAAUGAGAUUUGCAUUGUUAGGCCAGGGACGGAUCGGGUAUCCGGACAAUUUUAAGAUAUCCGGAUCCUUAUCCGGCGGAUCCAUAAUUUUACUAUCCUUAUCCGGAUCCGGGUGUCGGAUGUCCUUCUAAAAAUUAUAAUAUCCGGCGGAUAUCCGGAUCCAGAUUUGGAUCCUUAAAAUAAAUAAAAAAUAAUAUUAAUAUAUAUAAAAUAUUAACAAUAAUUUAAAAAUAAAAAUAUAUAAUGUUUUUAAUUAUUUCUAUGUAUAAUAUUACAAAAUUUACAUAAAAUUUAUAUAUACUAUUAUAAAAAUGAAAAUAUAUUAAAUAAAAUUAGUUUUUAUAUAUAGAUAUUACUAUUUUUGAAAUAGUUAUUAAUAAAAUUUACGGACCCGGAUAUCCGGACUAAAAAAUCAAGAUAUCCGGAUCCGGAUUCGGCUUUGACGGAUCCAACAUUUUAUUAUCCGGAUCCGGAUUCGGCCUCUCCGGAUAUCCGGAUUUUCGGAUCGGAUCCGGUUCGGAUCACGGAUCGAAUCCGGAUCUCGGAUAAAAGUUCCAGGCCUGUGUAGAACAGAGACCAAGAGUCAGAUCGAUCAAUGAAUGAUGAUGCUAUCCAUCUAAGCUCGUUUACAUAUGAUUUUAUAUCGAAAUGAAUUUAUAUACUGCAGUGUUAAAAAAAAAAAAAAAAUUUAUAUACUGCAAAACAGGGGUCAAUAUCAGGUAUUGAUCAAAUCGGUUCUUCAGGCUAAACCUAAAGAAGCUAAACCAGUAUAUUCUGUGAGCUGUUUUCUUCUACCUAAGACUACUUGUGAUGAAAUUAAUGCAAUUUUAUUGGAGUUCUGGUGGGGAAGGGUGAGGAACGAAGAAAAAUUUCUUGGGUCUCUUGGAAAAAGUUGUGUUUACGGAAAAAGAAGAAGGUAUGAGUUUUAGAGACUUAUAUAGUUUUAACAAGGCCUUACUUGCAAAGCAAGCAUGGCGGAUUUGGCAAAAUCCGAAUUCCCUUUUGAGUAGACUUUAUAAGGGAAGAUAUCAUCAUUCGUCGACUUUCUUACAGUCUUCGAAUACUAAGCAAGCCUCUUAUGGCUGGAAAUCAAUUCAAGUAGGCAAGGAACUACUUCGAAAAGGACUUUGCACAAUGAUUGGUGAUGGAAAAAAGACUAAUGUUUGGAUGGAUCAUUGGAUACCAGUUGUCCUGCCAAGACGUGCUAUACAAGUUUCAUAUAAUCGGAAUAUGAAAGUGGAAGAGUCUAUUGAUCAGGAUACAUCAACGUGGAAUGUUCAGAAACUGCAGCUUUAUUUAUAGCCUAUUGAUGUGGAACAAGUAUUGAAGAUCAAGUUAUCUCGGUUUGCUCCAAAAGAUCAUUUAAUAUGGUCUUUCACGAAAGAUAUGCAGUACACAGUCAAGUCGGGAUACUGGACAGCUACUCACUAUUAUCACGAGGGAGAUGAGAUCUUAAGACCUGAAGGCUCUUUAGAAAUUAAAGGAAAAAUUUGGAAGUUGAACAUCUUGCCAAAGAUAAAACAUUUUUUAUGGAGAGUGAUAUCAGGAGCACUAGCUACGUAUACAAAUCUUUGUACUCUUGGGAUUAAUAUUGAUCCUACAUGCCAGAGGUGUUGUCUAGAAGAUGAAUCCAUGAAUCAUGUUUUAUUCCUUUGCCCUCAUGCUAAGGUUAUUUGGAGAUGUUCAGGUAUUAUCUCAGUCCAUCUAUCUUCAAAUACCUUGGAAGAUAAUAUUCAACUUCUUUUUAGCAUAAUGGAAUCUUUACCGGAUUUGGAGCUAAAUAAAUUACUAGUCUUCUGGAUUCUGUGGCUGAUUUGGAAAUUAAGGAAUGAAUUUAUUUUCAAUAAGAGAAAUAUUCAUCCUAGUGAAAACAUUAAAAGAGCAAUGGAUUCAAAUAUUGAAUGGUAUAGGAAUGUUCUUCAAACUGGACAGCAAAGAAGAGGAUACGGUGCUAAAUCAUCGAAAUGGGAACCUCCUCUUUGUAAUUGGGUAAAAUGCAAUUUUGAUUAUAGCUCUGGCUCUAAUAGCGUGGUUGAUGUGAUUGGAUGGAUUUCAAGAGAUCAUAAUGGAGUUUUUUUGGGAGCUGGAAAUGCUCAAAUUGGAAAAGUUCGAUCAUAAUGGAGUUUUUUUGGGAGCUGGAAAUGCUCAAAUUGGAAAAGUUCAAUCAUCCAUUAUAGGUGAGACCAUGAGUUUUCUGUUUGCUCUGCAACAGAUAUGGGUUCGUGGUUGGAGAAGAGUAUGGUUUGAAGGCGAUAAUCAAGAACUCUGUCUUAUUAUUAACCAAGUGAAAGAACAUAUUGAUUUGGGGAACUACUUAUGUGAUAUAAGGUAUUGGAUGGUUUUAUUAUCAGAGUGUUCAUUGGAGUAUGUGAAUCGCGAAAAGAAUCAGGCAGCGAAUGUUCUGGCAAAACAAGCUAGAUCGUAAUAUUUCUUUUCAUAUUUUUUUAUGUUCCUUCUGCUUGGUUGAUUCAGUAUUUGUAUUCACCUUUAACAAUUUAAUUAAUAAAGUUCUUGUGGUUAAAAAAAAAAUGUUCUGAUUUAACGCAACAAUUAUUUUUAAGUCAUAUUAAAGCCAACAAAAUUUACUAUCACUAACAGAAUUCGCCAAGAUAGAAUUAAAGCUUGUUAAGCGUCUUUGGUCGUUGUUCAAACAAAAAAAAAAGAGUCUUUGGUCAACAAACGGGUCAAAUGUUACAACUUAUAGCAAUUAAAAACGUGAACGGCAGGAUUCGAACCUGCGCGGGCAAAGCCCACAUGAUUUCUAGUCAUGCCCGAUAACCACUCCGGCACGUCCACUUCUUGUUUAACUAUCAGCUACACAAAAUAUCUAUUGUCAUCGCAGAUAUAUAUAUAUAUCCAAUACUGAACGUUUGAUCAACCUCCUACCAAAAUGCUGAACUUUGAAAUUUUUCAAAAAACUGCUAUGGGUGAAUUAUUCAUAUAGUAGUCACUAGUUUGUUGUUGCUAUAAGAUCAUCUCGAAUAGUACUCUAUAAUUUCCUCUAAUUUUACUCUAAUAUAGAAUUACUCUGAUUCGGGCUUUAGAGCAUGAUUAUCCCUAGAAACCCAUAAGAUUUCUUAAGUACACUUUAAUGACUAUUUAAUUAUUAAAUUUUGGCUAAGGAUCUUAGUUAAGAAUCACUUAAUUUUUGUGCUACAAUGGUAGUUUAUUAAUUUGGGUUUCUUAAAAAAAAAUUAACUUUUUUUUAACCAUUCGAGUAAAUGCUUGAUAUACAAACAAACGCCACAAAACCCUAGAACACUUGGAAGAAGUAGACGAUCAAUCAUUAUAUAAAAAACUAGGCUAAACCCGCCCUACGAGCGGGCGAAUAUAUAAAUUAAUAGUAUAAAAUUGUUUUAAUGUUUAAUUUAUUACAAUUAUUUCUUUUACUAUAUUUAAAAAAAAAUAUAAUUAUAACUAUAACAAUAGGUGAAUAGAUUUUCAUAAAAUUAUAGUAUUGGAAUUAGUAGAAUAAAAUUAUUUCCGCUCUCCAUUAUAUAUUUGUUUCAUGAUUAAAUUUUUUCUUUCUUAAAACUAAUGAUAUACAUGACAUAAAAUAAAUAACUUAUUCGUUAUAACUAUAAAUAUUUUGAAAUAGAUAUAUAGAUACUAUGAAACUAUCAUUUCUAUUUAUACAUAUACAUAUACAUAUCUGUAAACGAUAUGGGCUUGGAACAUCAUCAUCUCGACAAAAAAAAUAAGAAAAGGUUCAUGUGUUUAAUUGCAUAUAGACGGUUGGAGUUGUCCUUUGGUUAGGUGAGAUUAAAUUCAAAAAGAAAUGAAAGAAAAAGGACCAAACUAUAAAUAGAUGUAACUUAAGUUAUUUAUCAGAUCGAGGGUCUUCUACACCUAUAUCGGCCGAUCUCAAACUCUGGGAUUAGGCUCGUCGCCUGUUGAUGGCGGUUUGAGAUCCUCUGCAAUUGUAGGUGACAUCGACGACUGUGCGAGCUGAGAUGGCUGUUGGAUGUGAGAUUAGAAGGUCGCGGCGGUGAAAAGAGGAACACGACUCACGCCGCGGAGAAGCUUAAACACGACCAUGGAGGGAUGCAAUCGCGGUUGGACCACCGGAGAACAAUCUGACCUGCGAGAUAGAUGACAGGAGAAGUCGUGGGGUGGCAUGGCAAGGAGGUCGCUGAGACUAAUAAGGUAAGAGAAGAACUUUGAUAUUAGCCAUUUUUCUUAGAGCAAGUUUAUUUCGUAAGUUAAUCAAAUUGAAAAUAUGAUUUUGAGAAGAGGAUGUCUAACUUUCUUUUAUAGUUGCAAGUACACCGUCUCACAUAAGAGAAGCUCACAUUAAAUAAGAUCGUAGUGGCUCGAUUAAGGAGGGGUUUAAGGCUAUGCGUCUGUUACCGUGAAUGUUUCGAUCAGUGAGGAAGAAGAUCAAACGACGUGAGACAACUACCAACAGAUUCAUCACGUCAACGUCGGCGGCUCAAUCUCUCGAGCAUGUGGUGAAUCCUAGAAUCAAAACGACGCUUAGGGAUUCUCACUAUCGAGAUGGAUCCUUAGAGUAAACGUAAAGCCCACAUAAAACCGUAACCCAUUUUUUUUAAAUGAAAUGCAUCGUAUAGUAUAAAUGGACAGGUGUCACGCUGAGAAGAACCGAAUUUGUGACCUGGAAUCCUAGGUGGCCUCACCAGGAGGGAGUAAACUCUUCUUUAUAUAUAAAGAUAAUCUGGAAGGUCAAACCACCUAGCUAUAUUGACCCAACAGUUGCGUAUGUAUCAAUAUCAUGUAUGUCGUGUUUUAAUCGAUCAAUGUAGAUGGAGAGAUAAGGAACCUGAUAACUGUUGUUGAAGUUACCGUACACGAAGUGUGAUGCUUGUUUUACCAACGCCUUGAUCUUCAAGGAACACGAGUGUUAGACCUUCUUCUUCUUCUUGUCCAGGUAUGAAUAUUUCUGGUACAAUGAGAUACUACUAAUCAGGAGAGGAAGAGCCACGAGGCAAUACGAUGAAGGCGGUUUUCCUUCAAACGCAAACUGCAGCAGAGCGGUGACAAUUAUUUAGCUCCUCAUCUUGAUUAAAUAAUAGUCAGUAUGAGGGAGAAUCGUUGAGUUGUGUACCAGUGAUACAAUUAGGCCCACCAAUGCAUCCAUGAUAUGACUUUUGUGAUCCCACAACGACAUUCCAAAAAUCUGUAAACACAAUAUAAUUGAGAUGGAAUCCAAAGUAGAAGCAAUUGUAAGCAAUAGAAACUUACCGAAGAGAGAAGACUUCGAUGGUGGAGGAGGCUGUUGCUGCUGAACUUUCAGUGAACACUUGAUUCUUUUUCCAAAACCUCUCAAUUGAUUCCUCUUCCUCAAACUAAACCCACCUGUGACAACUCCAAACAUGUAAAUUUUCAUACUCUGGGAACUUAACUAACCCAAAACUAUCCAACUUUCAGAGCUAAAUCUCACAACUAGAGUGGUUCAAAUGCGAAGAAUUUACAGAUAAUUGAGUCAUAUGUCACAAGUUUGAAGAUACCCAUAUGGCAAAAGUGUCCAACUUUCUGAGGUAAAUCGAACAAUUAGUGUUUAAAAUCGAAGAAUUCACAGAGAAUUGAGUCAUAUGUUACAGUUUGAAGAUAUUUGCUUAAAAGCCUAAGAAGAACUAAUGAAAGAUUGAUGCUUUUUUUUUAAUCCAAACCUGGGAUUUUGGAGGUUGGAUUGAACCUAGAGGUAUCCAAGAAAGAAGAAAGAGAUUUGGAAUCACCUGGAGGUUGGAUCGAAUCGAAGAACUGCUGCUGCUGGUAUUGGCCGAGCUAGUGCCAUCGUCGUCCGGCCGAGACCACGACAGAAGAGGGAGAGACGACAAAAAGAAAAGAAAAGAGAGAGAAAAAAAAUGCACUUUUAAUGAUAAGCUGACACGUGGGUUAAAAACCCUCUUAAUAACCAGUCCCCAAAAUCCUAUAUUAAAGAUCGGUAACAUACAUUUUAUUUAAUUUUGAUUUAAUUAAAUGCUUUAUUAACUUUAAAAACUCUCUUAAGAAACCUGGAUAAUCAUGGUCUUAUUCUCUGAUUCACGAGGAACUCAUGGUGGUUUCUUCAUGGGCUGAUAAAGUGAUAAGAUAUGUAACCUUAUCUCCGUUGUCGGUAACCCAGGUCUCCUACACGAGACUCUUAUUUUUUUGGUAAAAAUGUUACAUUCAUUUACCGAUUAGUUCAAUUUUGUUCUAUUUAUAGGUAAAAUCUUCUAAGCCAAUAAUUAUAUAAAAAAAUUAUUUUGCGAGAGAGCGCUAAGAGAUGGAGGAACUUAAACCAUGCGCCGCAAACUCGCCGCCGUUAACACCGUUAAGUUUCUUGGAGAGAGCCGCGGGAUCUCUCUGUAGGUGUGGUCCGUGCAAAGUUAUGGCUCCUAAAUACAAAGAGCUAUCAGAGAAGUACCAGGACAUGGUGUUUCUUAAGCUCGACUGCAACGAAGAAAACAAGGUGUGUUAACUUUUUCUUUAUUCUUUUUUUUUUUUACUUGUUUCUUAAGUCGUAACACAGAACUCUUGAUUGCAGCCAGUGGCACAGGAGCUAGGGAUUAGAGUGGUUCCAACCUUUAAGAUCUUGAAGGACAACAAGGUGAUAAAGGAAGUGGCCGGGGCUAAAUUUGAUGAGUUGCUUUCAGCCAUUGAGGCAGCGAGGUCAGGCUGAGCCUCUCUGUCUCUACAUUUCACUCCAUGCUGUAGAGUAUUAGGACAAUUCUCCAUCAAUAUGUGUGUAAACUCUCUGCUGUUCCUGAAACUGGAUUCAGUUGUAAUGUAACAGUGUGUGUAUAAACGCUGGGAAGUUAUGAAAUAUGAUGAGCUAUAUGCUUUAUAUAUCAGAAGUUUCAUUAACUAGUGGUUUGGCUAGUUUUGAUUGAGGUCAAGAAAGUAUUUUCAUUGCACAAGCUUUACGACUUGAGAGAGUCGCAUGGAUUUGAUUUUGUGGGUUCUGAUUGUUGAAACAAAGAUGCAUCUUGUUCAGAGUUGGCUUACAUUUAUGAUGUAUGUGCUUGAUGUCAUUUGUCAAUGGAUGUUCCAA